rnacentral:rRNA from 1 species
UACGUAGGGUGCGAGCGUUUAAUCGGAAUUACUGGGCGUAAAGCGUGCGCAGGCGGUUUUGUAAGCCAGAUGUGAAAUCCCCGGGCUUAACCUGGGAAUGGCAUUUGGGACUGCAAGGCUGGAGUGCGGCAGAGGAGACUGGAAUUCCUGGUGUAGCAGUGAAAUGCGUAGAUAUCAGGAGGAAUACCGAUGGCGAAGGCAGGUCUCUGGGCUGACACUGACGCUCAUGCACGAAAGCGUGGGGAGCAAACAGG